AUACGGAGGGUGCAAGCGUUACUCGGAAUCACUGGGCGUAAAGCGCGCGCAGGCGGGCUGAUAAGUUGGAUGUGAAAGCCUACGGCUCAACCGUAGAACUGCAUCCAAAACUGUCAGUCUAGAGUCUGGGAGGGGAAGAUGGAAUUAGUUGUGUAGGGGUAAAAUCCGUAGAGAUAACUAGGAAUACCAAAAGCGAAGGCGAUCUUCUGGGACAGUACUGACGCUGAGGCGCGAAAGCGUGGGGAGCAAACAGGAUUAGAUACCCCAGUAGUCC
rnacentral:rRNA from 1 species